AGAGUUUGAUCCUGGCUCAGGAUGAAUGCUGGCGGCAUGCCUAAUACAUGCAAGUCGAGCGGUAGCAUGGCUUCACCGUUCUCUUGACACACUUGGCUAUUAUGCGAGUGGUAAGAUUCGAGGGAACUGUGAAGCUGAUGACGAGCGGCGGACGGCUGAGUAACGCGUGAGAACAUACCCCAAAGUGAGGGAUAACUAGUCGAAAGAUUAGCUAAUACCGCAUGUGAUCUUUGGAUUAAAGCAUUUAUGCGCUUUGGGAAUGGCUUGCGUACGAUUAGAUAGUUGGUGAGGUAAAGGCUCACCAAGUCGACGAUCGUUAGAUGGUUUGAGAGGAUGAUCAUCCAGACUGGGACUGAGACACGGCCCAGACUCCUACGGGAGGCAGCAGUAGGGAAUCUUUCACAAUGGGCGAAAGCCUGAUGGAGCAAUGCCGCGUGCAGGACGAAGGCCUUCGGGUUGUAAACUGCUUUUAUAAGCGAGAAAUAUGAUGGUAACUUAUGAAUAAGGAUCGGCUAACUACGUGCCAGCAGCCGCGGUCAUACGUAGGAUCCGAGCAUUAUCCGGAGUGACUGGGUGUAAAGAGUUGCGUAGGUGGCAAGAUAAGUAGAUAGUGAAAUCUGGUGGCUCAACCAUUCAGACUAUUAUCUAAACUAUCUAGCUCGAGACUGUUAUGGGUAACUGGAAUUUCUAGUGUAGGAGUGAAAUCCGUAGAUAUUAGAAGGAACACCGAUAGCGUAGGCAGGUUACUGGGACAGUUCUGACACUAAGGCACGAAAGCGUAGGGAGCAAACGGGAUUAGAUACCCCGGUAGUCUACGCCGUAAACGAUGGAUACUAGCAGUUUUGGGUAUCGACCCCCGGAGUUGCGAAGCUAACGCGUUAAGUAUCCCACCUGUGUAGUACGAUCGCAAGAUUAAAACAUAAAGGAAUUGACGGGGACCCGCACAAGCGGU
rnacentral:rRNA from 1 species